UUUCCUUCAUUCAUUCGCCCAUUCUCUCUCUCAAAUUUCUAUUUUAUUUAUUUUAUUUUCACCUAUAAUAAUAAUAAAGCCAUGCCCCAUUUUAAGUAUUGCAACUCCCAAUCACCGCUACCCUUUCCGAUUGAUCUGAGCCCAUAACGCAUGUCAAGGCUCUGCCUGACUAAGUUCGUUUGGGUUCUGUCUUGGGACAUCGGGACAAGGUUGAUUUAGGGGUACUAUACUUACCACAAGUACAUUAUAUAUUUUUAAUAGCCCAAAAGUUAUACCCAAAAUUUAUACCAGGAGAUUUUCUAGUUGAACCCUAAAGUUACAAAGUGGGUCCAUUCUCUUUUCUCACUAUUUUAUUCCCUUUUUCCUUAUGAUAUAAUUAUAUUUAAAAAUACUCUAAAAUGAUCCGUUACUCAAAACCCGGACCCUUGAAAUCCCAAUCCAUAUCAGAAAUAAAGAAAAUCAGAUAACUGGUGUUCUCGCGGGCCGCGUAAGAAAUAGGCAGACGGUCACGCGGGCCGCGACAGCUCGUGGGUAUCCGGAUAUGCAUGACGACCACGUGUCAUCACACGCGUCGCAACCACUGGUGACUCAGCUAUCUCCGGUCUGAUCUAAGCUUCCACGCGGGCCGCGUAAGAGUCGGCCGAAGGUUCACGCGGGCCGCGACAAACCCCAAUUUCACCUAUAAAUUGCCUGGACAUCGAGCUUUCAUUCUGUGUCGAAAGUUUCUUUUAGAAACGAAGUAAUACUGUCCAAAUUCAAAUAUUACUCUCAUAGUAGUGGGGUACUGCUACGAUACCGGGUAUUAACUCGAUCGCUGCUACGAUUCAAUGUCCGAUCGAUUGAAACUAUCCGACCGGAUGUUUAAGUACUAUCCUUUGUCAUUAGUCGUGAUUCCGACAGGAUGUUUAAGUACCACCCGAACUCGGGGAAUACUCUGUCAUUCGUUGUGAAUCUGAUGGAUGUUUAAGUGAUUGCACUUUGUCAUUCGUUGUGAGGGUUUUAAUCUCGUGAGUUAUCGUAAAAGCUAUAUUAGUUAUUUACCUAGUUCGUGUGCACUAGGUUACAAGGCUAAUCAAUAGACUAAGCUCUGCCUGCAUAAAUCUGCAAUAUAUCAAGGCUUAUCUGUAGACUAGAAAUUUCCCGUAUGAAUCUGCAUGCUUAUAAUGUAAUUACAGUAGAUUAGAGUAAGAAUUGGAUCCGGCACUGAAGGACUUCAAGAAGUGGUUUAUUUUAUUAAUUGAAUCAAAUUAAGAAAUCUUGUUUUCUAAAAAUCAAAUUUAUUUAUAUUAAAGCUACCAUUGUAAAACAUGGGUUUUAUCCCAUCUAUUUAAUAAAUCCGGUGUUUUUAAACUCUGAUAUUUUUCCUAACUCACGGUCCUGAUAAAAUUUCCGCUGCAAUGUUUUUCAAAAUAUUCACCGGUACCACUGGACUGCUCACGGCACCCGAUUCCGUCCAGGGUGGGUCGGGGGUCGUGACACACCUCCUCUGGUAAUGGGUUCAAAUCAUCACCGUCUAGAUACGGUUUCGGCCGAUGACCAUUAACUACUUGUCUUCGUUGGUCCUUUGGAUCCUCAAUCUCCACAUCUCCAUACUGUCCGACUCAUGUAAUGACGAACGGUCCGGUCCAUUUACUCCUUAAUUUACCUAGAAGCAAUUUAAGGCGGGAGUUAAAUAACCAAAAUUUUUGACCUACCGAAAACACCAAACGCCUCAGCUUUGCGUCGUGAACCGCCUUCAUUUUGUCUUUGUAUGCGGCUGCGGUAUCAUACGCCUCAUUGCGUAAUUCCUCCAAUUCACUCAAUUUCAACAACCUGCGGGCACCUGCAUCUGAAUAAUCAGUAUUCACUUGUUUAACAGCCCACAAAGCAUGAUGUGCAAUCUCAGGGGUAAAUGACAACCCUUCCCAUACACCAAACGAUAGGGUGUAGUGCCGAUAGGAGUUUUAUAAGCGGUGUGAUAUGCCCAUAAAGCAUCAUCCAAUUUAGAUGACCAAUCCUUACGGUAAGUUCGCACCGUCUUUUGCAAAAUCUCUUUAAUUUGCCUAUUCGGCACUUCAACGUGUCCACUCGUUUGUGGAUGAUAUGGUGUAGAAAUUCGAUGGUCAACCCCAUACCGUUUUAAGAGUUUGCCAAAAAUAAGGUUUUUAAAGUGGGAUCCUCCAUCACUAAUUAUCACCCUAGGAAUCCCGAACCAAGAAAAAAUGUUUGAAUGGACAAACUUGCAAACAACGGUAUAGUCGUUUGUCUUAGUGGCAAUUGCUUCAAUCCACUUUGAAACAUAAUCAACCGCCACUAAGAUGUAUAGGUUACCAUUCGAAUUGGGAAACGGCCCCAUAAAAUCAAUUCCCCAAACAUCAAAAAUAUCAACAACCAAAAUUGGUUGUAUUGGCAUUUCAUCCCUUUUUGAAAUCCCACCCAUCUUUUGACAAUUCGGGCAAUGUUUAACGAACUCAAAAGCGUCCUUGAACAUGGUUUGCCAAUAAAGACCAGCUUCAAGAACUUUAUGGCAUGUCUUUUGUCCGCUAAAGUGACCGCCACAUGCAGAUGAGUGAGCAUGUUGUAAUACUUCCAAGAACUCUGUCUCGGGUACACAUCUUCGAAUAAUCUGAUCAGCACCAAUCCGGAACAAAUCUGGCUCGUCCCAAAUAUAAUUCUUCACUCGUGACAGAAAUUGCUGCUUCCUAUGCAUUUUGAUGUCUGUUGUUAAGGACACGCAAAAAACCGAAAUAAACUAUGUAGAUAGAGUAAGUCGGAUAUCGAACCAGAUGAGGAUUGUGGAAAGUGUCACGAUGCUAAGUAUUGAUUAAUUAUUACAAAAAAGUAAAUAUUGUUU
rnacentral:lncRNA from 1 species